ACUGAACUACACUUCUGACGUCCAUAUAUAAAAUUUCGGCAGCAUCCCCUUUGCAAGAUUGCAUAAAUAAGGGGGCAACAGGUUAUAAACAUAUAUCAUGACCAAAAACAUACUAAGUAUUAUUAAUCGGCUAGCAAGGGAAGAUAAACGUGCGACCUGAACUGAAUUAAUCAGUGUGCACGACUAUAUAAAAAAAACAAACUUCCUUUGACAAUAAGUUUCUAAUUAAAUCAUGGCUGCGCCUGGGCAGCGUUAUUGUGAGAGUGUAAGUGGACGUGCUGCUACUCCCCUCAUUCCCAACAUGUAUCAAGUACCUGCAUUGAGUAAUGCAAGAGUGAGAUGACAUAUCUCAGCAAGUAAAAUAUUAUCAAACUAUUCAACCACAUAAGAACAUUGUUUUACCACCACCUGAUUCCACAACCUUCUUAUUACCAAGAUGCAGCACGUAUACAACGUACAACACACCUAGUUACCACACCUCGCAGGUAGAAACCACAAUAGUAACAUAGUAAUGUCACACUUCAUAUAUUCCUCAUGAAUGCAAAUGUCUGCAAAUGCAAGCAUGACUUCUGCCUUCAUACCUCUAAGGAUAUGAAGCCGCAUCGUACCCCUCCUCGGGCAACAUACGAUGCUAAAAAUGUACCGGUACGGUCAGACCAUAAGAUCACGACAUAACUUCAAAAUGCAAGAUGGAUGAUGCGAUGUGCAUGUCAUGCCUACAACACUUCAUAUAACGUGAUUCAAAAAGACACUUCAACUUCAUCCAAGAUGGGAAUCAACCACAUAUAUCAUAACCAAAUUAUGAUCAUCCACAAUAUUAGACAAUUGAGAAUUAAUACUUCCAAACAAAUAAACUUCAUCAUAGAAUUCAAUGAUUAACAUAAUUAAAAACUUAUGCAUACUCAAUGACAGGGAAUAGGAUGCAAACCAAACGGUAGCAACCACCACUAUAUUUACUUGCCUUUACCGGAAGUUCGGGCAAAUCCCUAAGUACGAUCCGAAAGUCCACCACCUGUUUUUGACACACAACUUAGUGCACCAAUUUCACAUAACCAGGCUCAUAAACGACGCCGCACCUACGCACAAACUCAAACCCCGCCACGGGUUACAUCUCUCCCCACACCCACCAAACUGUAGCGGCGCUGCUUAAUAAUUUCAUAACUUCAAAAUUAUGACAGCAUUGGUAACAAACAAAAACUCCAGAGGCAUCUACAUAAAAUUCCCCACAAGUUUUGUAUACAAUUUAUAAUUAAAUUCCAACAUCUAAUUAGCCCAAAACAGUUCACAAGUUGAACCCUGUAAUCUGUUUUUUUCUCUUUUGGACAGCGACAUACCCGGAUUCAAACAGCGAUAUCUUUUAAAAUAUAAUUCCAAUUCAAGCGCAUAAGUACUCAUUGGAAAGAUAAGACAAAGCCAUACAUGAUUAUCAUACUGGUUAGCACUAAUUAACCACGAAAAAUCCCCAGAAACUGCUAAUACUACUGCUGUUCACCCACCUGAAAAAUCUGUUUUUUUGGACAGCAACAUACCCGGAUUCAAACGACGAUAUCUCCUAAAUUAUAACUCCGAAUCGAGCGCAUAAGUACUCGUUGGAAAGGUAUGACAAAGCUCUACAUGAUUAUCCCACUGAUUCCCACUAAUUACCCCACGAAAAUUCCCAGAAACUGCUAAUACUACUGCUGUUCACCCACCUGAAAAAUCUGUUUUUUUUGGACAGCAACAUACCCGGAUUCAAACGACGAUAUCUCCUAAAUUAUAACUCCGAAUCGAGCGCAUAAGUACUCGUUGGAAAGGUAUGACAAAGCUCUACAUGAUUAUCCCACUGAUUCCCACUAAUUACCCCACGAAAAUUCCCAGAAACUGCUAAUACUACUGCUGUUCACCCACCUGAAAAAUCUGUUUUUUUGGACAGCACCUCUACCGAUUCGCAAAGAUAAACACAUAAUCCAAUUGAUUGCAGCACAAAAACAACAAAAGUUAAUCACAAAUUCACCUUAGGUUCUUCCCUUACUCCUUCCUUCUUCCUCCCUCCAAACUCCAAUUGAGAUCGCAGCCACACGACGGAGAACCACACGGGAGGGCUGCACCUUGGGAGGAGGGGAAGAAAUGGGGGGGGGGGCAGCUAGGGUUUUGGGUGGUGAGGGCUGCAAAUGUUUGAGGAGGAAGAAGAUGGG
rnacentral:lncRNA from 1 species